UACGAAGGGGGCUAGCGUUGCUCGGAUUGACUGGGCGUAAGGGCGCGUAGGCGGAUAGUACAGUCAGGCGUGAAAUUCCUGGGCUCAACCUGGGGGCUGCGUUUGAUACGUGUUGUCUGGAGUUCGGAAGAGGGUCGUGGAAUUCCCAGUGUAGAGGUGAAAUUCGUAGAUAUUGGGAAGAACACCGGUGGCGAAGGCGGCGACCUGGUCCGAUACUGACGCUGAGGCGCGAAAGCGUGGGGAGCAAACAGG
rnacentral:rRNA from 1 species